AUUGAACGCUGGCGGCAGGCCUAACACAUGCAAGUCGAGCGGGGUUUUCGGACCUAGCGGCGGACGGGUGAGCAAUGCGUAGGAAGCUACCCGAUAGAGGGGGAUACCAGUUGGAAACGACUGUUAAUACCGCAUAAUGUCUACGGACCAAAGUGUGGGCCCUUCGGGCCACAUGCUAUCGGAUGCGCCUACGUGGGAUUAGCUAGUUGGUGAGGUAAUGGCUCACCAAGGCGACGAUCUCUAGCUGGUUUGAGAGGAUGAUCAGCCACACUGGAACUGAGACACGGUCCAGACUCCUACGGGAGGCAGCAGUGGGGAAUAUUGGACAAUGGGCGCAAGCCUGAUCCAGCCAUGCCGCGUGUGUGAAGAAGGCCUUCGGGUUGUAAAGCACUUUCAGUAGGGAGGAAGGGUUAAGUGUUAAUAGUACUUAACUUUGACGUUACCUACAGAAGAAGCACCGGCUAACUCUGUGCCAGCAGCCGCAGUAA
rnacentral:rRNA from 1 species